GGAAUAAACCCCCGUAUGUAUACGGGGUUGAAUGUACGGUAAGAAUAAGGAUCGGCUAACUCCGUGCCAUCAGCCGCGGUAAUACGGAGGAUCCAAGCGUUAUCCGGAUUUAUUGGGUUUAAAGGGUGCGUAGGCGGCCUAUUAAGUCAGGGGUGAAAGACGGUGGCUCAACCAUCGCAGUGCCUUUGAUACUGAUGGGCUUGAAUGAACCUGAGGUAAGCGGAAUGUGACAAGUAGCGGUGAAAUGCAUAGAUAUGUCACAUAACACCAAUUGCGAAGGCAGCUUACUAAAGUUUAAUUGACGCUAAGGCACGAAAGCGUGGGGAUCAAACAGGAUUAGAUACCCUGGUAGUCCACGCCCUAAACGAUGAAUACUCUAUGUUAGCGAUAUACGGUUAGCGUCUAAACGAAAGCGUUAAGUAUUCCACCUGGGGAGUACGCCCGCUAGGGUGAAACUCAAAGGAAUUGACGGGGGCCCGCACAACCGGAGGAGCAUGUGGUUUAAUUCGAUGAUACGCGAGGAACCUUACCCGGGCUUGAAAGUUACUGAAUUCCGCAGAGAUGCGGGAGUCCUUCAGGACAGGAAACUAGGUGCUGCAUGGCUGUCGUCAGCUCGUGCC
rnacentral:rRNA from 1 species